UGGGGAAUAUUGGACAAUGGGGGGAACCCUGAUCCAGCCAUGCCGCGUGUGUGAAGAAGGCCUUUUGGUUGUAAAGCACUUUAAGCGAGGAGGAGGCUACCGAGAUUAAUACUCUUGGAUAGUGGACGUUACUCGCAGAAUAAGCACCGGCUAACUCUGUGCCAGCAGCCGCGGUAAUACAGAGGGUGCAAGCGUUAAUCGGAUUUACUGGGCGUAAAGCGCGCGUAGGUGGCCAAUUAAGUCAAAUGUGAAAUCCCCGAGCUUAACUUGGGAAUUGCAUUCGGUACUGGUUGGCUAGAGUAUGGGGGAGGAUGGUAGAAUUCCAGGUGUAGCGGUGAAAUGCGUAGAGAUCUGGGGGAAUACCGAUGGCGAAGGCAGCCAUCUGGCCUAAUACUGACACUGGGGUGCGAAAGCAUGGGGAGCAAACAGG
rnacentral:rRNA from 1 species